UGGGGAAUUUUGGACAAUGGGCGAAAGCCUGAUCCAGCAAUGCCGCGUGUGUGAAGAAGGCCUUCGGGUUGUAAAGCACUUUUGUCCGGAAAGAAAUCCUUGGCUCUAAUACAGUCGGGGGAUGACGGUACCGGAAGAAUAAGCACCGGCUAACUGCGUGCCAGCAGCCGCGGUAAUACGUAGGGUGCAAGCGUUAAUCGGAAUUACUGGGCGUAAAGCGUGCGCAGGCGGUUUGCUAAGACCGAUGUGAAAUCCCCGGGCUCAACCUGGGAACUGCAUUGGUGACUGGCAGGCUAGAGUAUGGCAGAGGGGGGUAGAAUUCCACGUGUAGCAGUGAAAUGCGUAGAGAUGUGGAGGAAUACCGAUGGCGAAGGCAGCCCCCUGGGCCAAUACUGACGCUCAUGCACGAAAGCGUGGGGAGCAAACAGGAUUAGAUACCCUGGUAGUCC
rnacentral:rRNA from 1 species